AAAAAAAAUAAAUAAAUAAAAAUGGAUCCAAAGCAACACCAAUUUACGUUCUGUUCUUCCAUAAAUUUUAGUCAUACUAUAUCUCUUAAUUUGAAUUUUAGUACCUCACAUGAACACAUGAUUAUAGGACAGGCCAUUCAUUAAAAAUAUAGAGGUUCGACACAGUUCAAAAAAUGACAAUGCACUAGCUAUUGACAUUAGAAUAUGAGCAGGAAAAAAACAAGAAUUAGCAUACC
rnacentral:misc_RNA from 1 species